rnacentral:lncRNA from 1 species
CAUCAACAGGCAGAGUCAUAUUUAGGGGAGUCUGAGUAGGUGUUCUUCUCUGCAUCACCAUGAGCCUUAGUUUGGAAAUUCGUUAUUCCAAACCAGCAAUGACCUCUGGGGUUAUUUCUCUUCCUAUAGAGGAACUAGGGUCUAUUUCCAUAGAAAAGGUGGUAACUAAUUUUAGAUUAAGGUAUUGUGUUGAUCAAACUAGGAUCCAUAGUCAAUCGAGGUUUUCU